rnacentral:rRNA from 1 species
UACGAGUGCCUCAAGCGUUAUCCGGAAUCAUUGGGCGUAAAGGAUGUGUAGGUGGUUACGUUAGUCUCCUGUUAAAUCUCCCGGCUCAACCGGGAACCUGCAGGGGAAACGGCGUGACUAGAGGAUGCAAGGGGUCUGCGGAACUCAUAGUGUAGCGGUGAAAUGCGUUGAUAUUAUGGGGAACACCAAAAGCGAAGGCAGCAGACUGGGGCACUCCUGACACUGAAACAUGAAAGCGUGGGUAGCGAAUGGG